CCUACGGGAGGCAGCAGUAGGGAAUCUUCCACAAUGGACGAAAGUCUGAUGGAGCAACGCCGCGUGUGUGAUGAAGGGUUUCGGCUCGUAAAACACUGUUAUAAGAGAAGAACGUCAGUGAGGGUAACUAUUCAUUGAGUGACGGUAUCUUAUCAGAAAGGGACGGCUAAAUACGUGCCAGCAGCCGCGGUAAUACGUAUGUCCCAAGCGUUAUCCGGAUUUAUUGGGCGUAAAGCGAGCGCAGGCGGUUAUUUAAGUCU
rnacentral:rRNA from 1 species